rnacentral:tRNA from 1 species
GGGCUUGUAGCUCAACGGCAGAGCGUCCGCUUUGCAUGCGGAAGGUUUCGGGUUCGAAUCCCGACAAGUCCA